CUACGGGGUGCAGCAGUGAGGAAUAUUGGUCAAUGGGCGCAAGCCUGAACCAGCCAUCCCGCGUGGAGGAAGACGGCCCUAUGGGUUGUAAACUCCUUUUAUAAGGGAAGAAUAUACGUAUCGUGAUAUGUUUUGACGGUACCUUAUGAAUAAGCAUCGGCUAACUCCGUGCCAGCAGCCGCGGUAAUACGGAGGAUGCAAGCGUUAUCCGGAUUCAUUGGGUUUAAAGGGUGCGCAGGCGGACCAAUAAGUCAGUGGUGAAAUCUUACGGCUCAACCGUGAAACUGCCAUUGAUACUGUUAGUCUUGAGUACGGCUGAGGUAGGCGGAAUGUGUAAUGUAGCGGUGAAAUGCUUAGAUAUUACACAGAACACCAAUUGCGUAGGCAGCUUACUAGACCGUAACUGACGCUGAGGCACGAAAGCGUGGGUAGCGAACAGGAUUAGAUACCCGAGUAGUC
rnacentral:rRNA from 1 species